rnacentral:tRNA from 1 species
GGAAGCGUGCCCGAAAGAUAAGGACC